rnacentral:lncRNA from 1 species
CCCCCAAAGGGACCCUUACUGGGAACCCCCUUGGGACCCCCCCCAUUUUUGGCUUCAUUUCCCGGGAUUUCGGGUCCAUUUUUGGGGUGCCGUUUUGGGUCCACUUUUGGGAUCAGAUUUUGUGGUUUUGGGGUCAAUUUUUGGGUUCAUUUUGGGUGAUUUCAGGCCCGUUUUUGGGGUGCCAUUUUGGGGCCCGUUUUUGGGCUCAAUUCUUGGCAUUUUGGGUCCAUUUUUAGGCUGGGAUUUUGUGGUUUUGGGACCAUUUUUAGGCUCAUUCUGUGUGAUUUCGGCCCGUUUUGGGCUCAUUUCCCACGAUUUCGGGUCCACUUUUGGGGCGCCAUUUUGGGGCCCAUUUUUGGGCUCAUUUCCCACGAUUUCGGGUCCAUUUUCGGGGUGCUGUUUUGGGGCCCAUUUUUGGACUCAUUUCCCGUGAUUUCAGCCCAUUUUUGGGCUCAUUUCCCACGAUUUCAGGUCCAUUUUCGGGGUGCCCUUUUGGGGCCCAUUUUGGGCUCAUUUCCCGCGAUUUCGGCCCAUUUUGGGCUCAUCUCCCGCCCCUUCCCAGGUCUCUGUGCCCUCAUUGCCUGCUCCUGGUUCGCCCACCGCGUCAUCACGGAUUUCUACAGCCCCACCAUCCCCACAAACCUCAAGUACGAGCUGGGCCCGGCGCUGUUCGUGGGCUGGGGCGGCGCGGCGCUGCUGCUGCUGGGCGGGGCGGCGCUGCUCUGCUCGUGUCGGACCGGAACCGGAACCGGAACAGCCCGAUACCCGCGGGUGAAGGCGGCGCCUCGAAAGACCGGAAGCGGAAGUGCCACCGACUACGUCUGAGAGCGCCACGCCCCCGCCGGGCGGCGCGCCAAUCGGAUCGCAGAACGGGCCUUGAGUCACGCCCCCUUUUUUUUAGCCGCGUCCCUUUAGCUCCGCCCCCUCGGCAGGAACCGGAAGUGCCGCCAAAUACGUCUGAGAGAGCCCACCCUCCCCAAAACCGCCCUCCAAUCGGAUCGCAGAACCGCCCUGCAGCCCCGCCCCCUUUUAGCGACACUCAUUAUAAUCCCUCCCCCGCGACCGGAAGCGGAAGUGCCUAA